GCCGGGAUGGCGGAAUGGUAGACGCGACGCACUCAAAAUGCGUUGUCCCCUGGGCGUGCGGGUUCGAGUCCCGCUCCCGGCAC
rnacentral:tRNA from 1 species